rnacentral:rRNA from 1 species
AGAGUUUGAUCAUGGCUCAGAUUGAACGCUGGCGGUAUGCCUUACACAUGCAAGUCGAACGGCAGCACGGGGGCAACCCUGGUGGCGAGUGGCGAACGGGUGAGUAAUACAUCGGAACGUGCCCAGUAGUGGGGGAUAGCUCGGCGAAAGCCGGAUUAAUACCGCAUACGACCUAUGGGUGAAAGCGGGGGAUCGCAAGACCUCGCGCUAUUGGAGCGGCCGAUGUCAGAUUAGGUUGUUGGUGGGGUAAAAGCCCACCAAGCCGACGAUCUGUAGCUGGUCUGAGAGGACGACCAGCCACACUGGGACUGAGACACGGCCCAGACUCCUACGGGAGGCAGCAGUGGGGAAUUUUGGACAAUGGGCGAAAGCCUGAUCCAGCCAUGCCGCGUGCGGGAAGAAGGCCUUCGGGUUGUAAACCGCUUUUGUCAGGGAAGAAAUCUUCCAAGCUAAUACCCUGGGAGGAUGACGGUACCUGAAGAAUAAGCACCGGCUAACUACGUGCCAGCAGCCGCGGUAAUACGUAGGGUGCAAGCGUUAAUCGGAAUUACUGGGCGUAAAGCGUGCGCAGGCGGUUAUGCAAGACAGAUGUGAAAUCCCCGGGCUUAACCUGGGAACUGCAUUUGUGACUGCAUAGCUGGAGUACGGCAGAGGGGGAUGGAAUUCCGCGUAGCAGUGAAAUGCGUAGAUAUGCGGAGGAACACCGAUGGCGAAGGCAUCCCCUGGGCCUGUACUGACGCUCAUGCACGAAAGCGUGGGGAGCAAACAGGAUUAGAUACCCCAGUAGUCC